GAUUAAGAACGCAGCGAAAUGCGAUAAGUAAUGCGAAUUGCAGAAUUUCCGUGAGUCAUCGAAUCUUUGAACGCACAUUGCGCCCACUGGUAUUCCGGUGGGCAUGCCUGUUCGAGCGUCAUUAUCCUCCCUCAAACCCCGGGUUUGGUGUUGGACCCAAGUUGUGUGAACAACUGGUCUCAAAGACAAUGACGGCGUCCGUGGGACCCUCGGUGCAACGAGCUUUUAGGAGCACGCAUCGAGUUGCAAGGACCUUCCGGGCCGGUCUCCUUUACCAUUUUACAAGGUUGACCUCGGAUCAGGUAGGAAUACCCGCUGAACUUAAGCAUAUCAAUAAGCGGAGGA
rnacentral:misc_RNA from 1 species